GAUCAUGGCUCAGAUUGAACGCUGGCGGCAGGCUUAACACAUGCAAGUCGAACGGUAACAUAAAGAAGCUUGCUUCUUUGAUGACGAGUGGCGGACGGGUGAGUAAUGCUUGGGAAUCUAGCUUAUGGAGGGGGGAUAACUACGGGAAACUGUAGCUAAUACCGCGUAGAAUCGGAAGAUGAAAGUGUGGGACCUUCGGGCCGCAUGCCAUAGGAUGAGCCCAAGUGGGAUUAGGUAGUUGGG
rnacentral:rRNA from 1 species